AAAGAAACCGAGCGCCGUGGGCCUGGGAUUUAACUCAGCGGCGCUGUGUCUGCCUCGCAAGCGCAAGGUCCUGAGUUCGAUCCCCGGUACCAAAAAAAGAAAGAAAGAAGGAAAAAAAGCCGAGCGCCUUGCUGCACACCCCAGACAAGUGCUGCUGCGCGGCGGAGCCCUGCAAGACUCCCUCAGCAAAGACAUAAGCGGGGCGGAAGGGAGAGUCGAAGGCCUGAGCUCGAGGAAGGUCGAGCAGGAAGGGGCGCCCAUGACGCAGUUCCACCCCCAGCGCUCCCGCCGCUCGGAACUGGCGAAGACUGACGCCCUGGAGGUGACCGUAGGACGCCUGCGCGACCUGCGCCCCCGCAGGUGACCGGCGAGGCGCGGCCGGGCGUGCUGGGAGGCAGGAGGGGCGAGGGUCUCCGCCGGGGCGUCCCCUCCAGUCCCCGCCGCUCUGCAGCCAGACUCCGCACUGACCUCGCCUUCCUGGGCAAGCGUCGCGCCGCUCCACCGGCCCUGGCCAAGCCGCUUCCUGACCGGCUGCGAGGGCGUCUGCCGUGCCACUUGGCUGCCAGCCUCCCGGCUCUGCGCGAGGCUCCCGCGGUGCCCAAGCUGGGGCUGCAGGCCGGGGCGGGCCCGGGGGGCCGUGGAUGAGCUGCGCCCGGUCCUAGAGUGCGGGCUUGGCCGACUGUACUGAGCCGGAAAACGAUUUCCGAGCAAAAAAGGUUUUUCCUGCGGCUAGCUGACCUAACUGACAAAGAGCCACCCUCAGUUCCCCAAGUGUCUGUAUCCAGUGUACUUGUCUAUCAAAUCAUGUAAAAGAAAUGUAACGUCCUCCACCAAUGAACUGAUGAUAAAUGCCUUGCUUCUGUAUCCCCACUCCCCUUCCUUAACCCAUAUAAACCCUGUUCACUGCCGGCUCCGGGCGGAUCGCUUCGUGGAGAAAUCCUGCUCAGUCCGCCGCGUAAUAAAUUUGGCCCCAGCCUCCGGUGCGUUCUCCAUUCUUCUUGGCCUGGUCUUGCUAUACACUAAGAGCUGCCACACUGUGGACUGUAAGCCUACCGUUAUAGUACCACAGUGUAUUUAACUCCAGAGGCCCGCCUUGUCUUUUUGGGGGUUUUCUUUGUGAAUAGUCUUGUUCCUAAGAGCCUGCACACUCAGUCCCAGGAAGGCUGCGAGUCUCACGCUGGCCCUACGAAACCCUUACCCUAGGCCCCGCCCCUUCCCUAGGCCCCGCCCCUCCGGGCUUUGUCCCGCCCAGCUGGGUCCGCCCUUCCCUGGCACCGCCCCUAGCCCGGGCCUGUUGAAGCUCCGCCUCGGUCCGGGAGAUCUAGAUUUCCAGGUUCACCGAUGGAACCCAGGGCCCACCUUGGGGUGGCCCUAGGGUGUGAUGUUCCAGGAGGCAGGCAGGAAGGUGACAGCCACCAAGCUUUCCAGGAUGUAUCUCAGUGGUGGAAGGUGCUUAAAGGUUCAACUCCAAAUACCAGCCCCCCAAUAAAUACCACCCCUUUCAAAUGUCCAUCACCUGAUGAAUGGAUAGAUUGUGACGUAUCCUUACAACAGGAUAUUAUUUGACAAUAAAAAGGAAUGAGAAACUGGUACA